rnacentral:rRNA from 1 species
AUGCACCUCUGCCACAAUAACACCCUUGUCCGUGUCACCAAUGUUUACGCUCCUUGCGACCAUGCAUCUAAGCCCGCCUUCCUCGCUGAGCUUUCCGACCAUGUCCCCGGAGACGCCAUCCCCUGGGCCGUCCUUGGCGACUUCAAUAUCAUUCGUUCUCCUGAGGACCGCAACAACGCUAACUUUUGCCGGUCCGAGGCGGCACUUUUUAACAACUUCAUAAAUGAGCUCUCUCUGAUUGACCUCCCCUUCCGCGAUCGUCUUUACACCUGGUCCAAUCGUCAGUCCUCCCCCAUCCUUGCUCGGCUCGAUCGGGUCCUUGUCAACGUGGCUUGGGAUGCUAAGUUUCCCACAUCCACCCUCUCCUCCUUCACUCGCUCUACGUCCGACCACGUUCCUCUCAUCGCGUCGAUCUCCUCCGCCGCUCCUAAAACCCGCAUCUUCCGUUACGAGAAAGCUUGGCCCUGCACCCCUCGUUUCGCUCUUCGGUCGUUGUGGCCUGGAACUCUGCUUUUCGGCCAGAUCCCACUGCUCGAGUCGUGGUCGUGGCUCGACUUCGUCAGGUCAGACUAUGCUGUAAGCGUUGGACAAGGCGAACGGCUCCGGCUUCCCGCCGUGAGCAGGAUUGUCGGUGCUCAUUGGCUUCCUUGA